AUUGAACGCUGGCGGUAGGCUUAACACAUGCAAGUCGUGCGAGAAAGUAUCUUCGGAUAUGAGUAGAGCGGCGGACGGGUGAGUAACGCGUAGGAAUCUACCUAGUAGAAGGGGAUAGCCCGGGGAAACUCGGAUUAAUACCGUAUACCUCCUUCGGGAGAAAGAAGGCCUCUCUUUGAAGCUUUCGCUAUUAGAUGAGCCUGCGUAAGAUUAGCUUGUUGGUGAGGUAAAGGCUCACCAAGGCGACGAUCUUUAGCGGGUCUGAGAGGACGAUCCGCCACAUUGGGACUGAGACACGGCCCAGACUCCUACGGGAGGCAGCAGUGGGGAAUAUUGGACAAUGGGCGCAAGCCUGAUCCAGCCAUACCGCGUGUGUGAAGAAGGCCCUAGGGUUGUAAAGCACUUUAAGUUGGGAAGAAAAGUUAUUGGUUAAUACCCAAUAACCGUGACAUUACCAUCAGAAUAAGGACCGGCUAAUUCCGUGCCAGCAGCCGCGGUAAUACGGAAGGUCCAAGCGUUAAUCGGAAUUACUGGGCGUAAAGCGCGCGUAGGUGGUUUAUUAAGUUGGAUGUGAAAUCCCCGGGCUCAACCUGGGAACUGCAUCCAAAACUGAUUCACUAGAGUACGAUAGAGGGAGGUAGAAUUCACAGUGUAGCGGUGGAAUGCGUAGAUAUUGUGAAGAAUACCAAUGGCGAAGGCAGCCUCCUGGAUCUGUACUGACACUGAGGUGCGAAAGCGUGGGUAGCGAACAGGAUUAGAUACCCUGGUAGUCCACGCCGUAAACGAUGUCAACUAGCUGUUGGAAAACUAUGUUUUUCAGUGGCGCAGCUAACGUAGUAAGUUGACCGCCUGGGGAGUACGGCCGCAAGGCUAAAACUCAAAUGAAUUGACGGGGACCCGCACAAGCGGUGGAGCAUGUGGUUUAAUUCGAUGCAACGCGAAAAACCUUACCUAUACUUGACAUACUUGGAAUGCUUUGUAAUGAAGCAGUGCCUUCGGGAGCCAAGAUACAGGUGCUGCAUGGCUGUCGUCAGCUCGUGUCGUGAGAUGUUCCGUUAAGUCGGAUAACGAGCGCAACCCUUACCCUUAUUUGCCAGCGAUUCGGUCGGGAACUAUAAGGGGACUGCCGGUGAUAAACCGGAGGAAGGUGAGGACGACGUCAAGUCAUCAUGGCCCUUACGUAUAGGGCUACACACGUGCUACAAUGGAGAAUACAGACGGACGCUAAGCCGCGAGGUGGUGCUAAUCCUAGAAAAUUCUUCGUAGUCCGGAUUGGAGUCUGCAACUCGACUCCAUGAAGUCGGAAUCGCUAGUAAUCGCGAAUCAGCAUGUCGCGGUGAAUACGUUCUCGGGUCUUGUACACACCGCCCGUCAUACCAUGGAAGUGGAUUGCACCAGAAGUAGAUAGUCUAACCUUCGGGAGGGCGUUUACCACGGUGUGCUUCAUGACUGGGGUAAAGUCGUAACAAGGUAGCCGUAGGGGAACCUGUGGCUGGAUCACCUCCUUA
rnacentral:rRNA from 1 species